AUACCCUGAGCAAAAGAACAAAUGGCACUAGUUAAAAUGUCUGGUGUACUUUUGAACUGACUUCUUUGAAACAAAUUUUGGAAAACUAUUUAGAAAGGAAAAUUAAAUAAAUAUUUUGCGGUGAAAAAAUUCGACUUAUUGUCUUGUCUU
ensembl:ncRNA F07C3.11 ncRNA